UGACUUGAAAAAUCAUUUUAAAGUUUCAGUUCUUCUGUCAAAACAACUGUUUUCAUACAGCGAUAGCUGGGCGCUUUUGCCCAUAUUAGGAGUUUCCUGUUAUGACUUUCUGCGAGAGAGCACCCUCCGGCUUCGAGUAUGAAUGAUACACACACUGCAGGAGAGUGUUUAGCGCUACGUGAAGUUCAUCUCGUCUUCUGGGCCCGAAUAAAAUAUGAGGUCAUGUGCAGACUAUCCUGUCUCUUUGAGUUUAAAUAUUUAUUCACACCAGCUCUUGAAAACCUCUAUGCGAACACAUUUGACUGAAAAAGUGGGUCUAACAUACAUGUUGUUGGUUUAGAUAAUUUAACAAGUUUAUACAAUUCUUCCUCUUCUAGAGAAUGACUGUUCCUCAGUGGAUCUAUAGUGCACUGUCUGAUGCGAUACUGUUGCUGGCGGCUGAAUGGUUACAAUUUUAUCUCUAAUAGUAUCAAUUUUAGAAGUAAAGUAGUUCAUAAAGUCAUUAAUGCUGUGAUGUUGGGAAAUGUCAACACUUGUUAACAUUUCAGCAGACAGCAGGUGGCAGUACAGCGAUCAGCCGCUCAAAAGGAGGUGGUGGGGUAACUGGAGCUAUCCCAUAGACAGUAAAAGAAAUGGACACAGCGACCCCGUUGCUGCGGUUUGGACUACCUGCUUGUUUAUUGAAGAUGCAGGACAACCAGCUAGAAGUCUAUUACAACAGUCCAGUCUAGAGGUUAUGAAUGCAUGAACUAGCUUUUCUACAUCAGAAACAAACAACAUGUUUCGUAGCUUGGCAAUGUUUCUAAGAUGGAAGAAUGCAAUGUUUUUGUAAUAUGGGAAAUAUUGUUUUCAAAAGACAAGUUGUUGUCUAAUUUAACACCCAGAUUUUUGACUGUAGAGGAAGAACAGUACAUUCUUCUAAUUGCAAACUUUAGUCUACUAGAUUCUGUGUACUGUUUUUUGGUCCAAUAAUUAAUAUCUCUGUCUUAUCCUAAUUUAAUAGGAGAAAAUUAUUGAUUAUAAACACACAUACACUAGUGCUGUUAUAAAUACUGAGAUGUGUGUGUUGAGUUACAGAGAUGGCUGACAGAAAGAGCAGUAGCAGCGGAGGCGUCAGCUCUCAUCUGACCGUCAGAAGGAAAGACAGAGCAGAAAAUGUCAAGAAAGAGGAGAAACCACCUAAAGAAGGAGAGAUCGCUAAGAAUACGCCGGUGGAGAACAGAGAGAGCACAGAGAAACCAGAACCCAUGGAGUUUGAGAUCAUCAGCGGAUAGUGGCAAGUUCCAUCACCACAUGCGGAGGAAAAUUGCUGAGAGCAAGAGACUGCUAUUGAAAGACAUAGAGACCUAUAAUAGUCAUGACCCUGCCAUGCCAACUGAUGUUAAUGAAGCGGAGCAGUCGCUAUAAGGAGACAACCCAUCCCCAACAUGGCCGUGGGAGGUUCAUGGUAGCGCACAAAUCGAAGACAAGUUAACCUUUUUUAACAAAACCAUGCUGAAAAUGAGACUGGAGGAGGAAAGGACAAUACUUGUUCAUAUGAUGGCCCAGCACUGCUCAUGGAUGCAGUAGUUGCAGGCAACUCUUAAAAGAAAAACUUCAGAGGA